rnacentral:rRNA from 1 species
GACGAACGCUGGCGGCGUGCUUAACACAUGCAAGUCGAACGGAAAGGCCCUGCUUUUGUGGGGUGCUCGAGUGGCGAACGGGUGAGUAACACGUGAGUAACCUGCCCUUGACUUUGGGAUAACUUCAGGAAACUGGGGCUAAUACCGGAUAGGAACUCCUGCUGCAUGGUGGGGGUUGGAAAGUUUCGGCGGUUGGGGAUGGACUCGCGGCUUAUCAGCUUGUUGGUGGGGUAGUGGCUUACCAAGGCUUUGACGGGUAGCCGGCCUGAGAGGGUGACCGGCCACAUUGGGCCUGGGAUACGGCCCAGACUCCUACGGGAGGCAGCAGUGGGGAAUAUUGCACAAUGGGCGGAAGCCUGAUGCAGCAACGCCGCGUGCGGGAUGACGGCCUUCGGGUUGUAAACCGCUUUCGCCUGUGACGAAGCGUGAGUGACGGUAAUGGGUAAAGAAGCACCGGCGAACUACGG